UCGAGACGGCAUCUCCGCCUCCCUCCACACCACAGCGCCAGGCUGAUGCCCUCACCUGAUGCCCGUGGAGCGUGUAGAGCAGCCGGCCCUCCAUGAGGUCCAGAAUCUUCAAGGUCGAGUCGCUGGAGGCCGUGAGCAGCGCUACUUAGGGGAAACCGAACAGAAAAGACAAUUCCUGAGUGCCAGUACGAUGCCCCUGCCCAACGAGAGCAGGCAUGUGGGGCAGCCGGGCAGAGCUCUCUGACUCAUGGCCGGGUCCCCCAAGAGACUGUGUGCUCCGUCAGGCAGGGGCUGUGUCGGGUCCUUGCCUCCCGGCUCAGUGCCUGACACGGAG